rnacentral:rRNA from 1 species
UACGUAGGGGGCAAGCGUUGUUCGGAUUUACUGGGCGUAAAGGGCGCGUAGGCGGCGUGACAAGUCACUUGUGAAAUCUCCGGGCUUAACUCGGAACUGCCAAGUGAUACUGUCGUGCUAGAGUGCAGAAAGGGCAAUCGGAAUUCUUGGUGUAGCGGUGAAAUGCGUAGAUAUCAAGAGGAACACCUGAGGCGAAGGCGGGUUGCUAGGCUGACACUGACGCUGAGGCGCGAAAGCUAGGGGAGCAAACGGG